rnacentral:rRNA from 1 species
UACGUAGGGGGCAAGCGUUGUUCGGAAUUACUGGGCGUAAAGAGCGCGUAGGCGGCGCAGUGUGUUUGGUGUGAAAUCUCCCGGCUCAACCGGGAGGGGCCAUCGAAAACUGCUGUGCUUCGGGUACGGGAGAGGGGAGUGGAAUUCCCGGUGUAGCGGUGAAAUGCGUAGAGAUCAUGAGGAAGACCAGUGGCGAAGGCGGGUCUCUGGACAGUUCCUGACACUGAGACACGAAGGCCAGGGGAGCAAACGGG